UAACUCUGGUUUCCCUUCAAAACGUAUAAAUCUUUCGCCUUUUACUAAAGAUUUCCGUGGAGGGGAACACUCAAAUGAGUCUGAAUCUAUUUUUUUAAGGUCCAGCAUCAGCUGGACU